rnacentral:tRNA from 1 species
UGGCAUAUAGCUCAGUGGUAGAGCAUGUGCUUAGCGUGCACAAGGUCCUGGGUUCAAUCCCCAGUGCCUCUA